rnacentral:rRNA from 1 species
GGUUAAGCGACUAAGCGUACACGGUGGAUGCCCUGGCAGUCAGAGGCGAUGAAGGACGUGCUAAUCUGCGAAAAGCGUCGGUAAGGUGAUAUGAACCGUUACAGCCGGCGAUGUCCGAAUGGGGAAACCCAGUGUGAUUCGUCACACUAUCGUUAACUGAAUACAUAGGUUAACGAGGCGAACCGGGGGAACUGAAACAUCUAAGUACCCCGAGGAAAAGAAAUCAACCGAGAUUCCCCCAGUAGCGGCGAGCGAACGGGGAGCAGCCCAGAGUCUGAAUCAGCUUGUGUGUUAGUGGAACGGUCUGGAAAGUCCGACGGUACAGGGUGAUAGUCCCGUACACCAAAAUGCACAGGCUGUGAACUCGAAGAGUAGGGCGGGACACGUGGUAUCCUGUCUGAAUAUGGGGGGACCAUCCUCCAAGGCUAAAUACUCCUGACUGACCGAUAGUGAACCAGUACCGUGAGGGAAAGGCGAAAAGAACCCCGGCGAGGGGAGUGAAAAAGAACCUGAAACCGUGUACGUACAAGCAGUGGGAGCACCUUCGGGUGUGACUGCGUACCUUUUGUAUAAUGGGUCAGCGACUUAUAUUCUGUAGCAAGGUUAACCGUAUAGGGGAGCCGCAGGGAAACCGAGUCUUAACUGGGCGUUAAGUUGCAGGGUAUAGACCCGAAACCCGGUGAUCUAGCCAUGGGCAGGUUGAAGGUUGGGUAACACUAACUGGAGGACCGAACCGACUAAUGUUGAAAAAUUAGCGGAUGACUUGUGGCUGGGGGUGAAAGGCCAAUCAAACCGGGAGAUAGCUGGUUCUCCCCGAAAGCUAUUUAGGUAGCGCCUCGUGAAUUCAUCUUCGGGGGUAGAGCACUGUUUCGGCUAGGGGGUCAUCCCGACUUACCAACCCGAUGCAAACUACGAAUACCGAAGAAUGUUAUCACGGGAGACACACGGCGGGUGCUAACGUCCGUCGUGAAGAGGGAAACAACCCAGACCGCCAGCUAAGGUCCCAAAGUCAUGGUUAAGUGGGAAACGAUGUGGGAAGGCACAGACAGCCAGGAUGUUGGCUUAGAAGCAGCCAUCAUUUAAAGAAAGCGUAAUAGCUCACUGGUCGAGUCGGCCUGCGCGGAAGAUGUAACGGGGCUAAACCAUGCACCGAAGCUGCGGCAGCGACACUAUGUGUUGUUGGGUAGGGGAGCGUUCUGUAAGCCUGCGAAGGUGACCUGUGAGGGUUGCUGGAGGUAUCAGAAGUGCGAAUGCUGACAUAAGUAACGAUAAAGCGGGUGAAAAGCCCGCUCGCCGGAAGACCAAGGGUUCCUGUCCAACGUUAAUCGGGGCAGGGUGAGUCGACCCCUAAGGCGAGGCCGAAAGGCGUAGUCGAUGGGAAACAGGUUAAUAUUCCUGUACUUGGUGUUACUGCGAAGGGGGGACGGAGAAGGCUAUGUUAGCCGGGCGACGGUUGUCCCGGUUUAAGCAUGUAGGCUGAUUAUCCAGGCAAAUCCGGAUAAUCAAGGCUGAGGUGUGAUGACGAGGCACUACGGUGCUGAAGUAACAAAUGCCCUGCUUCCAGGAAAAGCCUCUAAGCAUCAGGUAACAUCAAAUCGUACCCCAAACCGACACAGGUGGUCAGGUAGAGAAUACCAAGGCGCUUGAGAGAACUCGGGUGAAGGAACUAGGCAAAAUGGUGCCGUAACUUCGGGAGAAGGCACGCUGGUGUGUAGGUGAAGUCCCUGCGGAUGGAGCUGAGACCAGUCGAAGAUACCAGCUGGCUGCAACUGUUUAUUAAAAACACAGCACUGUGCAAACACGAAAGUGGACGUAUACGGUGUGACGCCUGCCCGGUGCCGGAAGGUUAAUUGAUGGGGUUAUCCGUAAGGAGAAGCUCUUGAUCGAAGCCCCGGUAAACGGCGGCCGUAACUAUAACGGUCCUAAGGUAGCGAAAUUCCUUGUCGGGUAAGUUCCGACCUGCACGAAUGGCGUAAUGAUGGCCAGGCUGUCUCCACCCGAGACUCAGUGAAAUUGAACUCGCUGUGAAGAUGCAGUGUACCCGCGGCAAGACGGAAAGACCCCGUGAACCUUUACUAUAGCUUGACACUGAACAUUGAGCCUUGAUGUGUAGGAUAGGUGGGAGGCUUUGAAGCGUGGACGCCAGUCUGCGUGGAGCCAACCUUGAAAUACCACCCUUUAAUGUUUGAUGUUCUAACGUUGGCCCCUUACCGGGGUUGCGGACAGUGUCUGGUGGGUAGUUUGACUGGGGCGGUCUCCUCCCAAAGCGUAACGGAGGAGCACGAAGGUUAGCUAAUCCUGGUCGGACAUCAGGAGGUUAGUGCAAUGGCAUAAGCUAGCUUGACUGCGAGCGUGACGGCGCGAGCAGGUGCGAAAGCAGGUCAUAGUGAUCCGGUGGUUCUGAAUGGAAGGGCCAUCGCUCAACGGAUAAAAGGUACUCCGGGGAUAACAGGCUGAUACCGCCCAAGAGUUCAUAUCGACGGCGGUGUUUGGCACCUCGAUGUCGGCUCAUCACAUCCUGGGGCUGAAGUAGGUCCCAAGGGUAUGGCUGUUCGCCAUUUAAAGUGGUACGCGAGCUGGGUUUAGAACGUCGUGAGACAGUUCGGUCCCUAUCUGCCGUGGGCGCUGGAGAAUUGAGGGGGCUGCUCCUAGUACGAGAGGACCGGAGUGGACGCAUCACUGGUGUUCGGGUUGUCAUGCCAAUGGCACUGCCCGGUAGCUAAAUGCGGAAGAGAUAAGUGCUGAAAGCAUCUAAGCACGAAACUUGCCCCGAGAUGAGUUCUCCCUGAGACUUUAAGUCUCCUGAAGGAACGUUAAAGACGAUGACGUUGAUAGGCCGGGUGUGUAAGCGCAGCGAUGCGUUGAGCUAACCGGUACUAAUGAACCGUGAGGCUUAACCUU